rnacentral:lncRNA from 1 species
CUACCACCAACCAAAUAUGAGAUAGACUUUACUUUAAUUCUCAUGUACAUUUUUCAUCAGACACGAAACAAGCGGCUAAGACUUAAAAUCAAUUUCCUCUAUCUAGUCUUUUAAUUCACCUUCUCCUUCCCUGGACAUUGCCAAACACGCUGUCACGGUACGCAUAUGCCUACCCCUCGUACACACACGGCAUAUAUACAGGGUAUGAACAUACCACUAAUCACAGUUUUACAGCCAAGCAUAUGAACGUACCACUAAUCACAAUUCACACCCGCAUAAAUCAUGCGAAAGGCACUAAAGCAGAUCGACCGAGAGAGAGGCCAGGAGAGAACGAAUUCACAUCCAAAUUAUAAGUAAUUUAGAAUCAAUUAAUCCUUGGGGUUGAGCACGUGGACCAUGAACUGCAUGACCUGGACCUGCAUCUGGAGGCUCAGGAUGUAGUCGGCGGAGUGCAGGAGGAGCUCGUCCAGCCUGCUGUGUCGAUCUUGACGGUCCUGCAGUUCGCCGUUGCUGGCUCUCGGCACCAGCGUCCUAAGCGCCCGGAUCUUCCGUCUGAUCACUUCCAAGCGUCGUCGCCUCGACGUCGGCAUCCCCUGCUUCUGCUUGGCGCCGGCCAACUUCUUUCUUGUGCCGGCCUCCAAGGCCUUCUUCUUCCUCGCGAGGAGGAAGCGCCUUGCAGCCGCAACGCGGCAACAACUGCUAGCUGCGCGAGCUGCCAUGGCAACCAGCUCGAGCUAG